UGCACUGCUGGUGUUAAUUUCAGCAACUGUUCUCUUUGUGCCGAAGAAGAACAACAUCCAAGAGAUCAACAGAAGGAGAAGAACAACAUAAGUAACAAAAUAAAUGAACAACAAGACUGAAUCGACAACAUUAAGCUAAGUGCUCUUUUUUCUUCUAAUGACUAUAUUUCAUUUCAUUUCUCACAAAUAUUACAUUCUAUCAUCUAAUUAAUGAUUUUCUCUUUUUCUCUUUUUUCUUUUUGGUUGUUUUUAGAUUGUGCAUAAAUCUGACACCUGAUGAACACCAUGCAAAGAAGGAUGGCAGCAACCCCAAAGACAAAAGUAGGAUCAUCAGUGAGGACUACAGCGAAGACGGCAUCUGAUCAGAACAUCAACACCAGAUGACACGGACACAGUAUUAAGACUGGCGAUGAGCAAAACAAGGAUUGGAGGACAGUUACGGGACAAAUCUUUUUGGCUCUUUGUGUUUUGGCUCCAUUUAAAAAUGUUCAAAUAAAUAAUAUGACAUGAAAUUA